GACGAACGCUGGCGGCGUGCUUAACACAUGCAAGUCGAACGAAUCUACCUUCAUGCGAGCUUGCUCAAUUGAAGGAUUUCAGAUUAGUGGCGAACGGGUGAGUAUCACGUGGGUAACCUACCUAGGAGACCGGGAUAACUCUGAGAAAUUGGAGCUAAUACCGGAUAUUGCCUUAAUAACAUAAGUUUUUAAGAUGAAAAGUCCGCUGUUCCUAGAUGGGCCCGCGUCCGAUUAGCUUGUUGGUGAGGUAAUUGCUCACCAAGGCUACGAUCGGUAGCCGGCCUGAGAGGGUGUACGGCCACACUGGGACUGAGACACGGCCCAGACUCCUACGGGAGGCAGCAGUGGGGAAUAUUGCGCAAUGAGCGAAAGCUUGACGCAGCAACGCCGCGUGGACGAAGAAGGCCUUCGGGUUGUAAAGUCCUGUCAGGAGGGACGAAGCCCACUUCGGUGGGUGACGGUACCUCCAGAGGAAGCCCCGGCUAAUUACGUG
rnacentral:rRNA from 1 species